UUGCCCCCCCGGCCCCCACCCCUGAGCGGUGGGUGGGGCCCUAAUGUCCUUCCCCCUGGACAUUAGGCCUCCCCCCCUAAUUAGUAUUUAGGGCCCCCACCCACCGCUCAGGGGUGGGGGCCAAGGGGAGGACAUU